GACGAACGCUGGCGGCGUGCUUAACUCAUGCAAGUCGAACGGAAAGGCCCUGCUUUUGUGGGGUGCUCGAGUGGCGAACGGGUGAGUAACACGUGAGUAACCUGCCCUUGACUUUGGGGUAACUUCAGGAAACUGGGGCUAAUACCGGAUAGGAGCCCCUGCUGCAUGGGGGGGGUUGGAAAGUUUCGGCGGUGGGGGAUGGACUCGCGGCUUAUCAGCUAGUUGGUGGGGUAGUGGCUUACCAAGGCUUUGACGGGUAGCCGGCCUGAGAGGGUGACCGGCCACAUUGGUACUGAGAUACGGCCCAGACUCCUACGGGAGGCAGCAGUGGGGAAUAUUGCACAAUGGGCGGAAGCCUGAUGCAGCAACGCCGCGUGCGGGAUGACGGCCUUCGGGUUGUAAACCGCUUUCGCCUGUGACGAAGCGUGAGUGACGGUAAUGGGUAAAGAAGCACCGGCUAACUACGUG
rnacentral:rRNA from 1 species